UUUUCUUUUACAAAAAGAAAAGAAAAAAAGGCCAUUUUACCUUACAGGUCACCUCACAGACUACAGCUUGUCCCCUGGCCAAAGGCCACAAUUAGGUAUUUCUCACGGUGACCACUCACAGAUGAGGCAACGGCAGAAGAAAGGAGAGCCCUGGAAUGACUGCAGAAGGUUCUCACUGGUUUUCAUCCUAACCUUCCAGCACCUCUUAUACUGUCUGAAGUCCUGCGUGCUGCUCCUGGAAUCCCCUUUGAUUUUCACACCUUCGUUCUGGAAAAGCCCACAGUGAUCCCUCCUCUUGACAUCAAAGGGAGUUGAAGCCAGAGGACUGCCCGCGAAACCUGAAAUCGGCGGACAAUCAUCCGAGCCUAGGUCGGUCGGGCAGGUUCUGUGUGCCCAGUCUGGUUCACUGAGGAUGAAAUUCAGAACCCCGCAUCCGGCAGACCUUCUGUCAAAUAUUGGUUCUUUCUGUUGUUAUUCGCUCUGGGAGUUUAGACAAGUUAUUUAUUCUGCCUAAGGGGAAAAACAAAACAAAACAAAAACCCUUCACCUGCCUCACAAGUAAAAUGGCAUCUGUCCUGGUACUUACUGCAAUGGCUCAUUGAGAAGAUGAAAUGAGAUAAUACAUACAGUGCCACGUAAUAAACACUCAUUACAAAACACUA